rnacentral:tRNA from 1 species
GGGAUGUAGCUCACUGGUAGAGUGCUUGCCUACCAUGUGUGAGGCCCUGGGUUUGAUCCCCAGCACACA